rnacentral:misc_RNA from 1 species
UCGCUUACUCAUCCUUCCCCUCCACACAAGGAGGAGAAGGAGGAGCUUCUUGAAAGCCAAAUCAUGUACACAACUUUCAAACUUCUUCUCAAUUGUAGACAAUGGAAAGAAUUUCACUCAAGUCGACAGCAUUUUUUGUUAUCUUCUUUCUUGCCUCUUCUGGUUUGUGGGGGGAAUAUGAAGGAGGAGCAGAAGCAUUUCAUUUAAGAUGUCCUAGGACGAUAGAUUGCAAUCAAGUGUGUAAUGGCUUCCCUAAUUGUUGCAUUGAUGGGCAAUGCUAUUGUAAUCCUUGCCCUUCCAUUGCCCAUCAGCACCUACCUUUAAAUGUCUAAGCUUAACCCCU